rnacentral:antisense_RNA from 13 species
CUUCAGCGACCCCAGCCACAGCGGGUCGGCCGCGUCCCGGUCCUGCCCGUAGGUCGCCAGGAUCGCCUGCGCCUC